rnacentral:rRNA from 1 species
AUGGCCGCCGCCGCCGCCGCGCUCCGCCGGGCCCUCGCGCCGGCACCGGCGCUCCUCCUCCGCCGCCAGGCCCUCGUGCGCCUCCUCUCCACGCAGGCCCAGUCCUCCACCGCCCCCACCAUCAGCCCCGCCGAGCUCGUCCGCAUCAAGAACUCCAUCCGCAGCGCCGCCACGCCGCCCGACGAGCUCGCCGCCCUCUUCCUUAAAGGCAUCCCGCACCCGCCCUUCCUCGGCGACCGCUCCAUCUUCUCCCUCGCCGUCUCCCGCCUCACCGCCGCCGCCCGCCCCGACCUCGUCUCCUCCGUGCUCUCCGCCUCCCUCACCGCCCUCCCGGCGCCGCACCCCUCCGAGGGCUUCCUCAUCCGCCUCAUCGCGCUCUACGCCGCCGCCGGCAUGCCCACCCACUCCCUCUCCACCUUCCGCCUCGUCGUGCCCCCCUCCGACCGCGCCCUCUCCGCCCUCCUCGCCGCCUACCACGACGCCGGCCAGCCCGCCCGCGCCAUCGAGGCCUUCCGCGACCUCCCGGCCGAGCUCUCCAUCACGCCGGGCGUCGUGUCCCACAACGUGCUCCUCAAGUGCAUGGUCGCCACGGGGGACGUCGCCGGCGCCCGCCAGGUGUUCGACGGAAUGCCCGACAAGGCCGGCGUGCUGCCAGACAUAGUCUCCUGCAACGAGAUGCUCAAGGGGUACCUCAAGACAGGUGACUAUGCCGCGUUCGACCUGCUGCUCAAGGAGGUCACUGGCGGCAAGAGGCGGCUCAAGCCCAACGUCACCACCUACAAGCUCCGAAUGUCCGCCCUCUGCGCCAAGGGCAGGAGCUUCGAGGCCGAGGAGCUGCUGGACGCCAUGGGCGCCAACGGCGUCCCGCCUAACCGGGAGUGCUUCAACACUGUCAUCGGCGGGCUCUGCAAGGAGGGAGAGGUGGGCGCUGCGGUGGCGCUGUUCAAGAGGAUGCCGGAGGUGCCCAGACUCAACGGGAAAGGUGUGUCGCCCAACUUCGAGACCUAUAUCAUGUUGAUCGAGGCGCUGGUCGAAAACAACGCGUUUGUCCCUGCCCUGGAGGUGUGCAAGGAGUGCCUGGCCAACAAGUGGGCGCCGCCGUUCGAGGCUGUCAAGGGUCUGAUCCAAGGGUUGGUGAAGAGCAGGAAGGUGAAGCAUGCCAAGGAGCUGGGCAUGGCGAUGAAGAAGGCCGCCAAGGGUGAUGCCAAGGAGGAGUGGGAGAAGGUUGAGGCGGACGCCUUCCAGCUCGCGCUCGCCGAGAUGAAAGCGUAA